UCUGAUACCAUUUGUAACGCCCCAGCCCUUCACACGUUAUCGAUAUUGUCCGCUUUGUGCUUACGCCCGCACGGAUUUUAUUCUUUUCAGUGGGUCACCCAUCCUAGAAUUGCUCCAGCCUAAGCACGCUUAACUGGAGAGUUCUACUAAAGAUUUUACCACCCGGGAAAAGGCCUCGAUGCUAUAUAAGGGUCCAGGUUUUUACUUUUAUAACCUAGGAAUUCCUUUUCCAUUCCCGAUGUGGGAUACCGGGACCUUACAAUAUACUGUCACGUCCCAAAAUUUGGACAAUUAAAUAUUAAAUUAGGAUUAAACCCUAAUUAAUAUUCCAUCAUCCAAAUCCUAGGGGUGAAACAAAAAAACUAAAUGUUCUUGUCACCAUAAGGUUUAAGUAAAUUCAAUGCUUAAAAAAAACAAGGGAUAUAAAAAAAAUAAUAAUAAUAAACGCCAACCAAACUAUCCAUCAUAGAUUUAUAACUAUCCAACACCUCCAACAUUAAAGUAACAGCAACUAGUCAAAAUAACUUAAAUAAUGUAAAGUUGAAAAAUAACCCUCAUUGUCAAAUUGUCAAAAUACUAAGGAAGACAUGUCCUACGAGCAUAGUUAUUUCUCGUCACCACUGUAGCCCUAACUAAUCUUGCAAAGGAAGUUCGGCUGUGUUCAAACAGAACGCACCUGUGUUGCCAAAAGACAAAACGGGUCAAUAUAUAAGUAUACUAAUAUGAGUAUAAGAUUUGAUACCCACGUGUCUACCAAAUACAAACAAAAGUACAUUUAAUUAUUGUUACGGGACAAGACAAGUAGUUCCAUCCGCACCGAAACGAAUAGAUAAUUUCCCGAGAUACGGUGACAUUUAGUUUAUUGCCCGUACAACUAAAUAUAAAUUGAGUAUAAAAUAAAUGAAAUAAAAAUAAAAAUAUGGUGGGUUAGCCCUGCAUAAAAA